CCCUUAGAUGUUCUGGGCCGCACGCGCGCUACACUGAUGAAUUCAACGAGCCUAGCCUUGACCGAGAGGUCCGGGUAAUCUUUGAAACUGCAUCGUGAUGGGGCUAGAUUAUUGCAAUUAUUAAUCUUCAACGAGGAAUGCCUAGUAAGCGUGAUUCAUCAAAUCGCGUUGAUUACGUCCCUGCCCUUUGUACACACCGCCCGUCGCUCCUACCGAUUGAGUGUGUUGGUGAGGAGUUUGGAUUGGCCUCGGAAGGUGGUUCGCCACCGUCCGUAGCUGAGAAGUUCUCCAAACCGCCCCACUUAGAGGAAGGAGAAGUCGUAACA
rnacentral:rRNA from 1 species